AAUCGAACCCGGAGAUAGCUGGUUCUCCUCGAAAUAGCUUUAGGGCUAGCCUCAUGGAUCAUUGAUGGGGGUAGAGCACUGAAUGUGCGCGGGGGCCACAAAGCCUACCAAACGCUAUCAAACUUCGAAUACCAUACAAUGCAGACCAUGGGAGUCAGUCCGCGAGAGAUAAGUUCCGCGGGCAAAAGGGGAACACCCCAGAUCAACCGCUAAGGUCCCCAAGUUCACGUUAAGUGGAGAAGGAUGUGGAAUUGCACAGACAACCAGGAUGUUGGCUCAGAAGCAGCCACACAUUUAAAGAGUGCGUAAUAGCUCACUGGUCGAGUGAUUGUGCGCCGAAGAUGUCCGGGGCUAAACGUGACACCGAAGCGAUGGGUGCAUCUGAAGAAGAUGCGCGGUAGAGGAGCAAUGUGCAGAGGCAGAAGCCGUAUCGAGAGGCACGGUGGACACUGCACAAGAGAGAAUGCCGGUAUGAGUAGCGAGAGGCAUGCGAGAAACAUGCCCGUCGAAAGCCCAAGGUUUCCUGGGGAAGGUUCAUCCGCCCAGGGUAAGUCGGGGCCUAAGCCGAGGACGGAAGUCGUAGGCGAUGGACAGCAGGUGUAGAUUCCUGCACUACCGAUGGAAUGAAGCAGUGACACAGAAGGAUAACUCGAGCAGGGUGAUGGUCAACCCUGUGCAAGCAUCAAGGUUGGGUUGUAGUGAAGUACGCAACCCUACAAGCUGAGGUGUGAUGCGGACCGAAAUUUCAGUAGGGAAGCGAGUGAGUUCACGCUGGCGAGAAAAGCUGCUAGUACAUCCAAAGGUACCCGUACCGGAAACCGACGCAGGUGGGCGAGGAGAGAAUCCUGAGACGAACGGGAGAACCCUUGUUAAGGAACUCGGCAAAAUGACCCCGUAACUUCGGGAUAAGGGGUGCCUGCGAGAGCAGGCCGCAGAGAAUAGUCACAAGCGACUGUUUAGCAAAAACACAGGUAUCUGCGAAAGCGAGAGCUGACGUAUAGGUGCUGACACCUGCCCGGUGCUGGAAGGUUAAGGGAACAUGUUAGAGCAAUCGAAGCAUCGAACCGAAGCCCCAGUAAACGGCGGCCGUAACUAUAACGGUCCUAAGGUAGCGAAAUUCCUUGUCGGGUAAGUUCCGACCCGCACGAAUGGUGUAACGACUUGUGAGCUGUCUCAACAGGGGGCCCGGUGAAAUUGAAGUAUGGGUGAAGAUGCCCAUUACCCGCGACUGGACGGAGAGACCCCGUAGAGCUUUACUGCAGCCUGAUAUUGAGUUUCGGUAACUGAUGCACAGGAUAGGUGGGAGUCUGAGAGACAUGGGUUUCGGCUCGUGUGGAGACGCUGUUGGGAUACCACUCUUCGGUUACUGAAAUUCUAACAUAGCUCUGUGAAACCAGAGGAUGGACAGUGUCAGGUGGACAGUUUGACUGGGGCGGUCGCCUCCGAAAGAGUAACGGAGGCGCCCAAAGGUACCCUCAGAAUGGAUGGAAACCAUUCGAAGAGCGCAAAGGCAGAAGGGUGCCUGACUGCGAGAUUGACAAAUCGAGCAGAGACGAAAGUCGGGCUUAGUGAUCCGGCGGUAUUGAGUGGAAAAGCCGUCGCUUAACGGAUAAAAGCUACCUCGGGGAUAACAGGCUGAUCUCCCCCAAGAGUCCACAUCGACGGGGAGGUUUGGCACCUCGAUGUCGGCUCGUCGCAUCCUGGGGCUGAAGCAGGUCCCAAGGGUUUGGCUGUUCGCCAAUUAAAGCGGCACGCGAGCUGGGUUCAGAACGUCGUGAGACAGUUCGGUCCCUAUCCAUCGUGGGCGUAGGAGUCAUGAGAGGAGCUGUUCCUAGUACGAGAGGACCGGAAUGGACGCACCACUGGUGCAACUGUUGUCGUGCCAACGGCAUAGCAGGGAAGCGAAGUGCGGAUGGGAUAAACGCUGAAGGCAUCUAAGCGUGAAGCCCACCUCAAGAAUAAGACUCCACAAUAGACCCCUGGAGGACUACCAGGUAGAUAGGUCAUCGGUGGAAGCGCCGUAAGGUGU
rnacentral:rRNA from 1 species